rnacentral:rRNA from 1 species
UACGGAGGGAGCUAGCGUUGUUCGGAUUUACUGGGCGUAAAGCGUGUGUAGGUGGUUAUUCAAGUCGGUUGUGAAAUCCCCGGGCUCAACCUGGGAACUGUUUCCGAGACUGAAAGACUAGAGUACGGUAGAGGGUGGUGGAAUUUCCGGUGUAGUGGUGAAAUGCGUAGAUAUCGGAAGGAACAUCAAUGGCGAAGGCAGCCACCUGGGCCUGUACUGACACUGAGACACGAAAGCGUGGGGAUCAAACAGG